AGAAUACUGGAUAACUUUAAAAGGUAUCCUACUUGCGAGACUCCUCUACGCUUUCAGAUACUCCUUUUCCUCAUCUGCAAUCUUGAAGUAAAAACUGCAUUGCAGUUGGAUAUGAAACUAAAAUGGAGAAAUAUUUAGGAAGUGCCCCCGCACAGUGCCUACCUUGUGAAAAUAAUCAAACGAGGUUAUGUGCAUGUGCAUUGGGUGAAAUUGCCUUAAAGAGAAACUGACUUCUCUUUUACAAUUCUUCAAAAUCAGGCCAGCCUGUUUUGAGGCUCCUAGGAUAUCUAUGGAAUUCCAGAGAUGGAGUCUUACUCUGUCGCCCAGGCUGGAGUACAGUGGCGUGAUCUUGGCUCACUGCAACCUCCACCUUCCAGGUUCAAGUGAUUCUCCUUUCUCAGUUUCCUGAGUAGCUGGGACUACAGGCAUGUGCCACCACACCCACUAAUUUUGUGGAUUUUUAGUAGAGAUGAGGUUUCACCACGUUGGCCAGGCUGGUCUUGAACUGACCUCAGGUAAUCCGCCCCCCUCAGCCUCCCAAAGUGCUGGGAUUACAGGCAUGAGCCAUCACGCCCGGCCCUCACUUGUUUUCAUGGACCUAG
rnacentral:lncRNA from 1 species